AACGUAGGAGACGAACGUUAUCCGGAGUUACUGGGCGUAAAGGGCGUGCAGGCGGUCUGAUAAGUCUGGCGUGAAAUUGACCGGCUUAACCGGUGAAUGUCGUCGGAUACUGUCAGACUAGAGGGCGAUAGAGGUGUGUGGAAUUCCGGGUGUAGUGGUGAAAUGCGUAGAGAGUCCGGAGGAAACACCAGUGGCGAAGGCGACACACUGGGUCGCACCUGACGCUGAAGACGGCGGACAGCAUGGGGAGCGAACGGGA
rnacentral:rRNA from 1 species